GGAAGUCACCCGGCCGGAUGAGGACACUGUCUUGAAAACAGCUGCGGGUAAAACCGUUGUGGGUUCGAGUCCCACGGCUUCCG
rnacentral:tRNA from 1 species